rnacentral:lncRNA from 1 species
CUGUCAUCUCCUCAGGAUUUUGGCAAGUUAAGGGUCCACUGGUUUAUUCUGAGCUGUGUGUUUAAGGACGUUAUUUGCUUUGUAUCAACUUGCAGACAGAGGGAAAGUUUGAGGAAAGAAAAAUCUUUGGAUUAUCAAAAUAACAAGAGACGUUUGUGUAUUUUGACUGGCCUACACUCUAUAGCCCACCUUUACCAGCGACAGAAAGAACAGAAAACUUGACAAGAAAGCACAAUGUUCUUGGGAGCUGGAAAAGAAGCUGCCUUGUGAAAGGUUGUUUUGCUGGAGCAGACGCGUGAUGUUUAGGAAGAGUAGAACCACCUAGAGUGAAAGGAUGCUCUUGCACUGCUGCUGGUCUUCAGAAAGCACCAAAGACCUUCUGGUGGGAUUCCACCUGCUUCCUGCUGCUUCUGCUGACUCACGCUGAUUCUGUGGAGCCUUGCAGUUUCUGCUGGAUGGAGCUGCUGCUACUGAUCCGAGUUUGGUGUUCCCUAUUGGACUGGACUGCUGAUAGCCUGUCAACAAAGAUGGGAAGCACCUCAAAGAACUACAUUUAAACAGACAAAUGCUACUCUUGACCUUGACCAGAGAAGCUUCUCUUUCCAGUCAUGUGCUGGGGCCCUCAAGGUACCAAGGGUAAAGAAGGCAUAAACAAAAAGUCCCUCUAAGGCUCAGCAAACACCAAGGAAGAGGAUGCAAAAGACUCUAAGGGCUGGAAGACAUGAAAAAAGGACUCUGGAAAGAUAGCUAUCAUCCAG